rnacentral:misc_RNA from 1 species
CAAAAAUCAAGCCAUGGAUCAUCGUUGCUGUGGUUUUUGUUCGAUAUGUGGUACUUCCUGUAAUUGGUCUUUGGCUUGUUAAAGCAGCUGGGAGUCUUGGCUUCCUUCCAUCAGACCCUCUCUAUCACUAUGUGCUGAUGAUUCAAUAUACCAUGCCACCUGCCAUGAAUAUUGGUACAAUGACCCAGCUGUUUAAUGUGGGCCAAGAAGAGUGUUCAGUCCUCUUCAUGUGGACAUACUUGGGUGCAGCCUUAGCACUGACAGCCUGGUCAACUGUCUUCAUGUGG